GCUUACGGCCAUACCAGCCUGGGUACGCCCGAUCUCGUCUGAUCUCGGAAGCGAAGCAGUGUCGGGCCUGGUUAGUACUUGGAUGGGAGACCGCCUGGGAAUACCAGGUGCUGUAAGGA
rnacentral:rRNA from 1 species